rnacentral:lncRNA from 1 species
GGAUGGAGUCACUUGUGACUUGUUAACCGGUCAUGUUAUCGGCCUCGACCUCAGUUGCAGUCUCCUUAAUGGAAUUAUUUAUGCCAACAGCAGCCUUUUCCAACUUUGUCAUCUUCAGACACUAAACCUUGCUAAAAAUUACUUUUAUCCUGAAUUAAAAUUAGAAGAUAAGUUAAUAGUUGUGGUAAGAAUAGCAAAAGAAAAUAAAGAAAUAGACUCGGCCGCUAGAGGAAUUUGAGGCAUCUCAACCUUUCUGAUUCUUUCUUUGUAGAGAAAAUUCCAACAGAGAUCUCAUGCCUUUCCAAUUUGGUUUCACGUGAUCUUUCUAUUUCUUAUAUAAAUGGAUUACAACUUGAUCAGAGAACAUUUGAAACAGUGCUUCAGAACUUGACAAAUCUG